rnacentral:lncRNA from 1 species
GUCACAUUUCCCUGAAAGCAAAAGUUUUUUGUUAGCUCGGGUGUGUCUGCAUAUCUCUCUCCAUACGGACACUUACUUAUAUGGCAUUUACCCGUCAACUUGAAGCCAAGUAUAUGCCAAGAACAUCUUGGUAUUUGCGAUAUGAGAUCCUUUAAUUUUCUCUCAUUGUAAAAUAUGGGAGAUUGGAGACAGAGUGAUAAGUUAAACAAAUUGGAAUAAGGAAAGAUGAACCUAUCUCUAUUCAGACUACAAAAUUAUUAGCCCACUACUAUCCCCUUUGUAAUCAACAACAACCUAAUAUAAUCCCAUAAGGUGGGGUCUAAAGAGGGUAGAGUGUAGUAUGCCCUUACGUUACAUUGUGAGGGUAGGGAGGCACUAUCCCCUUUAUAAUCAUUUUGCCUAAAGCAUCCACUGACAAGAUGUUUAUGAAAUUGUUUCAUGGUUAGAAAUAAUAUAGAUCAGGGCUAGAUGUUGAACAAUCAUGAAGCUAAUGACUAUGUUAAACUUUGGAAUAAAGUAAAGGAUCACAUUUACAUGUUGUUUACCUGUGUUAUAAAAGGAUGUUGCGAUUCCAAAGAUGAUCUUCAUGAAAGAUUAAGAAACUGCACCGGCCAAAGCUUCACAAGCAGCCUUCAAUGAUGUAGGUUUCCCUCAUUACCUAAGCAUCUAACUUACCAUCUGAGUUUGGAGACCUCUGUUUUAGUAGCCCUGCAUCAUAGUUUGACUGCUAUGUGCAUACUUUGAAGGGAAAUAAACAAGAAAGCCUUGAAGGUGCGGAAAAUAUGUUCAUAUCAGGAUCUUCGAUUUUUAGUGACUUUUUGUGCACUUAUAAGGACUCAGUUAGUAUAGAUGCUAGAGAGUUUUUUUUAGAGAACCUUUUAUUUCUUGCUUAUCUUUGGUUGUGUACAAAAUGAUUUCUUUAAUUUUUCUAAGGCGAUGUUAAUCCUACCCAAAUAAUGUAAUGUUACUGAAGUAAUAAAAUUAAUAUACUACCUCUUAUAAGAAAUUGAAAAAUCAAGAAAGUCGGAAUGUCACCAUAACCUUGAAGACCAAAGCGGAUGGGUUUCUUCAUAUCCAUCACGAUUGAAGAAUAGAUUACAUUCAAUUGUUACCUAAUUCUACAAAUACCAGUAAAGCUAUUUUAUCUCAGUAUAGCCAACAAAAGGUAUAAGAUCAUCAACUGAUUUUUGAUUCAAC